rnacentral:misc_RNA from 1 species
AGGUAUUGAAACUGUCUAAUCCAUGAACCUUUGCAUGAGAUGUGAUUAUAAUGCAGGACAGAAGUAUGCAGUUUAGUAAUACAUCCGUUCUUAAACAUCAAACAUCCAUUUUUCUUUGCGAUAUUGGGAAUCAACGAAUAAGAAAAGCUAGUUUUGUUCUAUUUCUAUUACAAAUUGAUUUUGCUAAAUCCUUUGAUUUGCAGGUCACAACUCCG